AAUCUUAAUUUUUUCCUUUCCUAACAGGUAACAGCAUCGGGUGGCGGCGACGGUGGCAGUGAAUCUCGAAUUCCUUCCUUGGUCGACCAGCAGUCCAAUGCAUAACGCACGCCUUCGUCAGAUUCUUCUAGUGAACUACCUGCGAAAGACGCGGUACAUGGAAUUCGGUAAAUGCUACGUUCAGCUUUUCCCCAAAUCUACGAAUGUUCAUUUCUUUAUUCUCAAAAAUCAACCCAAACGAUUCGACGGAUCAAGGCCUGGAUCCGGAAGGCGCUAGGUAUACACAAAUCUGCUUCUAUUUGGUAUUUUUUUGGGAAUAAAUAGUAAAUCUUGUCUCCGAAUUGAUGUGUUUCUUUUUAUAUAAGAUCACAGACGUCGAUUGAGGUGUUUGUGCAAUCUUUUAGAUGUGUUUGUAGAUUCAUUUUUUUAUCAGUGCGAGAACACAAGGCAAAAUUAAUUUCCAAAUAGUCUUUGAUUUGUGAGUUGUAAAACUUUUGGUUUUUUGUCUCUCCAAACCUCUCCCCCCAUUACACAUUGAAUCAACAAUCAAUCAAUCUUUUUUUUUUUUUUUUUAUAACUUAGAUUACCUCUCCACAGAUAUAGAGCUUCAGAGCAAGAUUCAAACCCUAAUAGUGAUUCCCAAAGUCUUUGAAUUUUAAAUACAGUAAAACCAAGAUGGGUGUGAAUUAUAUGGUUUAUAGGGUAAAUGCAGUAACACCAAGUUGUGAACAUUUUUUGCUACCCUAAAUCCUAGCAUGAUUGAUGUAAAGAAAUG
rnacentral:lncRNA from 1 species